AGUGAACGCUGGCGGUAGGCCUAACACAUGCAAGUCGAACGGCAGCACAGUAAGAGCUUGCUCUUACGGGUGGCGAGUGGCGGACGGGUGAGGAAUACAUCGGAAUCUACUUUUUCGUGGGGGAUAACGUAGGGAAACUUACGCUAAUACCGCAUACGACCUACGGGUGAAAGCAGGGGAUCUUCGGACCUUGCGCGAUUGAAUGAGCCGAUGUCGGAUUAGCUAGUUGGCGGGGUAAAGGCCCACCAAGGCGACGAUCCGUAGCUGGUCUGAGAGGAUGAGCAGCCACACUGGAACUGAGACACGGUCCAGACUCCAACGGGAGGCAGAAGUGGGGAAUAUUGGACAAUGGGCGCAAGCCUGAUCCAGCCAUACCGCGUGGGUGAAGAAGGCCUUCGGGUUGUAAAGCCCUUUUGUUGGGAAAGAAAAGCAGCAGGUUAAUACCCCGCUGUUCUGACGGUACCCAAAGAAUAAGCACCGGCUAACUUCG
rnacentral:rRNA from 1 species